AUGCGUCAGCCGGCAAGGACGCCCACUGCUCGCAGCAUGAUGGGUGUAGCAGUGAUGUUGGUGAUGUCGCUCCAUUUUUGCCGAGCGGUUUCUGCAACAGCUGCAGUGGCGGCAGCAACUCUUCACUACGCGGUGGGCGGAGACGAAUGCAGAAGUGGCCUCAAGCCGUGGUGGAGAAAGCGAACAGAGCACGAACGGAAAGAAGAAAAGAGGAAAACUGACUCACGAGAAAUGUGUGGAUGGCUUCGCGAAGGAAGGGAUAAGGCUGGAUGUGUGAUAGCCCCACAGGGACACGCGUUGCCCGCUCGAGGCGGAUGA
rnacentral:rRNA from 1 species